rnacentral:rRNA from 1 species
UACGAAGGGGGCUAGCGUUGCUCGGAAUCACUGGGCGUAAAGCGCGCGCAGGCGGUCUUCCAAGUCAGUGGUGAAAGCCCGGAGCUCAACUCCGGAACUGCCAUUGAAACUGUUAGACUUGAGGACGAGAGAGGUGAGUGGAAUUCCCAGUGUAGAGGUGAAAUUCGUAGAUAUUGGGAAGAACACCGGUGGCGAAGGCGGCUCACUGGCUCGUAUCUGACGCUCAGGCGCGACAGCGUGGGGAUCAAACAGG